UAGAAGCAGGAGGGAGCAUGUAGGGAACUGUCCAGCGCUGCUGUGCUGAAACCCAGGGCCUAGAGGGUAGCACAGUUCCUCCUAUCAUCAGCUAAAGAACUGUCCAAGCAGCUGGGGUAGCACAGAGUUAAGCUUUGGCCCCAGGCUGUGGUUCAUUCUGCUGUUCUGACACCUCCUGCUGCUGGCUACUCAGAUUCCUGCCGGCUGAACUUCCCCUGGGAGAUCUCUAUGCUUCGUGCACUGGAUGGAGCUCAAACCUGUAUUCGGAAGGCCUUGAUACAAACUGGACUUAGCCUGCCUUGUCCUGGUUGACCUAUUUCCCAGGAAGCAGAACUGGAGUCAGAGGCUGUUUAUUGAGGCGAACCAUUGAGAAGAACAGCAGUUAGGAUGGGGCGUGUGAAGUAGGAGGAGGGAGAGCCCACGUUGUUCUUGAGAUUCCCUGAAACUGAGAUUAUGAAGGAUUGUGAGUAGCCGUGUGGGUACUGGAAGCUGAACCCCGGUCCCU
rnacentral:sRNA from 1 species